rnacentral:rRNA from 1 species
GAUGAACGCUAGCGGCAGGCCUAAUACAUGCAAGUCGAACGAUAUCUUCCAGCUUGCUUUCCUUGAGACCGGCGCACGGGUGCGUAACGCGUAUGCAACCUACCUUUAUCUGGGGGAUAGCCCGGAGAAAUCCGGAUUAACACCGCAUAAAAUCACAGUACGGCAUCGUACAAUGAUCAAAUAUUUAUAGGAUAGAGAUGGGCAUGCGUGUCAUUAGUUAGUUGGCGGGGUAACGGCCCACCAAGACCACGAUGACUAGGGGAUCUGAGAGGAUGACCCCCCACACUGGUACUGAGACACGGACCAGACUCCUACGGGAGGCAGCAGUAAGGAAUAUUGGUCAAUGGAGGCAACUCUGAACCAGCCAUGCCGCGUGCAGGAAGACGGCCCUCUGGGUUGUAAACUGCUUUUAUUCGGGAAUAAACCUGCUUACGUGUAAGUAGCUGAAUGUACCGAAGGAAUAAGGAUCGGCUAACUCCGUGCCAGCCGCCGCGGUAAUAC